UACCUCAGAGCAGGCGAGAUCAC
rnacentral:rRNA from 1 species